rnacentral:snRNA from 1 species
CUACUUACCUGGCAGGGGAGAUACCAUGAUCACUAAGGUGGUUCUCUCAGGGCGAGGCUCAUCCAUUGCACUCCCUGUAUGGAGUUUGCAUGUUCUCCCCGUGUCUGCGUGGGUUUC